rnacentral:rRNA from 1 species
GACAUAGGUGGCGAACGUUAUCCGGAUUUAUUGGGCGUAAAGGGCGCGUAGGCGGCCACGCACGUCCGUUGUGAAAUCGCCCGGCUCAACUGGGCGGGGUCGGCGGAUACGGCGUGGCUGGAGCAAGCUAGGGGGCAAUGGAAUUCCCGGUGUAGUGGUGGAAUGCGUAGAUAUCGGGAGGAACACCAGUGGCGAAGGCGGUUGCCUGGAGCUUUGCUGACGCUGAGGCGCGAAAGCGUGGGGAGCGAUCCGG